GUUUAUACUGCAAAUGAGCUGCUCAGUACCUCCCCCAUGGCCAGUGCUGUCUCCUUCCCAUCCUUUGAGUCAGCGUUCAGGACCCCCAGAGAAGGCUAUUCUUAUUUUCCAAGCCAUUGUUCAUGGACUGGCCUGUCAUAAGACAUGACGCUUCAUUGCAAACAUCUCCACUCCUCACCUCCUCACGUGCUCAGCAACCUUCUCAGUGGAGUAACUGUAAACUCCAUUCUCAUAAAAACCCCAAGGAUGUAAACCCCGCAGGAUUGAGUUUAUUAAAGUAAAACCCGAAACAAAACCCCUA